rnacentral:rRNA from 1 species
GAUGAACGCUGGCGGCGUGCUUAACACAUGCAAGUCGAACGAUGAAGCCCAGCUUGCUGGGUGGGUUAGUGGCGAACGGGUGAGUAACACGUGAGUAACCUGCCCUUAACUCUGGGAUAAGCCUUGGAAACUGGGUCUAAUACCGGAUAUGAGCGUCCACCGCAUGGGGGGUGUUGGAAAGAUUUAUCGGUUUUGGAUGGACUCGCGGCCUAUCAGCUUGUUGGUGGGGUAAUGGCUCACCAAGGCGACGACGGGUAGCCGGCCUGAGAGGGUGACCGGCCACACUGGGACUGAGACACGGCCCAGACUCCUACGGGAGGCAGCAGUGGGGAAUAUUGCACAAUGGGCGGAAGCCUGAUGCAGCGACGCCGCGUGAGGGAUGACGGCCUUCGGGUUGUAAACCUCUUUCAGUAGGGAAGAAGCGAAAGUGACGGUACCUGCAGAAGAAGCACCGGCUAACUACGUG